GCUGGUAUUAACUCAGUUGGUAGAGCAUGAGACUCUUAAUCCCAAAGUUGUGGGUUCAAGCCACACCUUGGGCA